UACGGAGGGAGCUAGCGUUGUUCGGAAUUACUGGGCGUAAAACGCGCGUAGGCGGCUACUCAAGUCAGAGGUGAAAGCCCAGGGCUCAACCUUGGAACUGCCUUUGAAACUAGGUAGCUAGAAUUCUGGAGAGGUCAGUGGAAUUCCGAGUGUAGAGGUGAAAUUCGUAGAUAUUCGGAAGAACACCAGUGGCGAAGGCGACUUACUGGACAGAUAUUGACGCUGAGGUGCGAAAGCGUGGGGAGCAAACAGG
rnacentral:rRNA from 1 species